rnacentral:lncRNA from 1 species
UUUCAAAGCCAGGCCUGACUCGGGGUACAAGGAAGAACAGACCUAUGUGCAUUUUGUAGGAAGAAAAAUGUGAAUGGAAAAGGGAGAAAAGGAGAGAAACGGGGGGAAAAUCUGGAUAAUACAUUAAAGUAACCAUAAUUUUGGAGAUGCAUUCGUCUUAUUGAAACUCUGUGUGUAACCAGUGAUACCGGAGUCGGAUAUUUGCUCAAUCAGGAUGCUCAACAAUUUGAGCCUUUACUUUAAAGUUUGGAGCUGCAUAGGUUUGUGGAGAAAGUCGACUCGUGAUAUUUCCUCGGGGCAGUGAUUCUUUUUCACCCCUUUGAAUUCAGAAGGAUGGCACAGACAUCUAAAAAACAGGUUUGCAGGUUUGGAUCCCAGCCAUGGACCUACACACUGUUCAUCAAGCCAUGCUAUGGCAGUGUCCCACAUACAAAGUGGAGGAAGAUUGGCAUGGCUCUUAGCUCAUGGACAAUCCUCAGGCAAAAAGAGGAAGAUUGGCAACAGAUGUUAGCUCAGGGCCAAUCUUCCUCACCAAAAAAUAAAAAAGGGAAAUUUGGACACGGAGACACCCAUGCACAGAGAGAAGGUGAUGUGAAGAGACACAGGGAGAAGAAGGCCAUCUACAACUCAAGGAGAGAGGCCUGGAACAGAUUGUUCCCUCACAGCCCUCAGGAGGAGCCAACCUUGCUGACACAUUGAUUUUGGACUUUUUGCCUCCAGAACUGUGAGACAAUAAAUUUCUAUUGUUUCAGGCACCCAAUUUGUGGUAAUUUCUUAUGGCAGCCCUAUGAAACUAAUAUAGAACCCAAAACUGUAGACUAGUUAAGAAGACCAUUGAGGGCUUGAGCUAAGGUGUUGGAAUGGGUUAAAGACAAGGAUUUGAAAGAUAUUCAGGAAGUAGAAUUGACAGAACUUGGUGACCGUUUGGAUCUA